rnacentral:tRNA from 1 species
GCCGGUGUGGUGUAGUGGUUUAAGCGUUGGACUAUGACUCUGGAGACGAGGGUUCAAUUCCUUGCUUCAGCA